AUAUUUUACCUGGCAGAGGUGAUUUUUUAAUCGAGAAGGUGGUUUCCUCAGAGCGAGGAUUAUCCAUGGUACUCAGGUUGGGUUGACCCCGGCGAUUUUCUCCGACCUGGAAAACUCCACUGCUUAAUUUGUGGUAGUGGGGGACUGCGUUUGCACUCUCCCCUG